CCAGGGCGGUGAAGGGAAGCCCUGCUGGGCUGGACCCACCAAUAUUUUACGAGAAGUCACAGGCUUCCUCUCAGCCUGAAGAACAACAAAGUAGGAAGCAGCUCAUUUUCUUUUUCCCCCCACAACCCUUUGUCGAGGGUUAGCAAGACCCUCCAGCGUGAGGCCGUGCGGUCUGCCCCGGGUGGAGCCAGGGCACGUGGGGAUGUGAGGGGCCGCCAACAGUAAGCAGCCCCGUGAUGGUUCUCGACACUGGAGGGCUCCACUGCUACUGAGCACGCACUAAUUCUGGGAUUUCAGAGACGUAAUUUUACUUAAUCCCAACAACAUUGUAAAGCCCAACAAGGACUUUAUCUACUCUCCAGCCGGGCCAGAUAGGACCACAGCCAUGUCCUUCAGGCACUAUGCUCUCCACUGCUGAUGACUGAACCCCCUUCCCUCGCUCGCCAUCCUCCUUCCCACCUGUGUGGGAACAAUCCACCCAUUCAACACAGGACAGUGCCUGCUUCCCCACACCCUGCCAGGAUUGAGCACUGUAGUCUUCGAAAGUUUUCAUCAUGAAAAUAGGAAAAAUAAAAACCUCAUUUUAAUUGGCAGGUUCUUAAUUGCUGUAGAGGUUAAACAUGUA